CUUCUCUUUUUUUUUUUUCCUGAAUUGCAAUGACUUAUUAUUACUUAUCUCGGAUAAAAAGAUAACCCAACCUGGUGCUGACUAUUAGUAUAUCCACGAUUAGAAUAGAACUUAGGACCUCAGCGGAUUAAACCUCGAACAAGCCCUUUCCGCGAAAUGAAAAACUAGACGACUCAGUCGAGGAAAAAGAAAGAAUGGCAGGUUCAGGAAAAUGUCUCCUGGUUACAGGCUCUCCUGGAGUAGGCAAAACGACACUGAUCAUGAGAGUAUUCGAGAGUCUUAAACUCUCAAACCCUAACUUAAAAGCUCAGGGCUUCUACACUCGAGAGAUUAGAGAAGGAGGCGAGAGAGUUGGAUUUGAGGUGGUUACCGUAGAUGGUCGCAGAGGUCAACUCGCCUCCUCCACUGUUUCUAGUGCAGAGUCCCACAGAUGGCCUAAUGUUGGCAAAUACAGAGUCAACAUAGCAUCAUUUGAGUCACUGGCAUUACCUGAGCUGCAGAUUAAAGAAGAUACUAAUCUCUUCAUCAUUGAUGAAGUUGGUAAAAUGGAAUUGUAUAGUUCAUCAUUCUUCCCCGCUGUUCUAAGAGUUCUGGAAUCAAAUAUCCCUGUUCUGGCUUCCGUUCCUGUUCCAAGGUUUGGCAGAGAUAUACCUGGAGUUGCAAGGCUGAAAAAUCAUCCAGGGGCAACCAUAUUCGCUCUGAACCCAAGUAAUGGGGAUGCCAUUAGAGAAGAAAUCUAUCUUCAGCUGGUGGAAUUACUGCAAAAUCGUUAGAUGCUACAAUAUUUUCAGGUUAACGCUUUCAUCAUGUCCGAGGUUCUCAUGCAGCUUGCUUUCUGCCUUUUUGUUUAUCUCAAAAAGAAAAAGAACACUUUCGUGAUGUCCACUGCUCUCUUUGGAGGGAUGAAAAAUCCUUCUUUUGCGAUUCAGAUCUGUUCCCAAGUUGCUUCUUUGCAUGGUCUGUGCAAACUGCUGUGGCACCAAGCUUCAAGGUGCAGACUUCUGUAGAUUUUGAGGAAGCAAUUUUAGAUUUUAUAACAAUACAGUCAGCAGUACAAAACGUAAAUUGCUACAAUCACCAAAUCAGAAAAAGACUUCGAAAACAUCAUGGGUCACAUGAUUAUCGAUGUCAAUGUCAUCUUUGCAUAGAGGAGCAAAGAAAGGUAUAAAGAUCCAAAACAUGUGGUUGACUAUUAUAAUAUGCAUCAGUCCAGAAAACAGGAUAGCCAGAUAAUUGUAUCUGUUGUUCACAUGAGA